rnacentral:rRNA from 1 species
GACGAACGCUGGCGGCGUGCUUAACGCAUGCAAGUCGAACGGAAAGGCCCUGCUUUUGUGGGGUGCUCGAGUGGCGAACGGGUGAGUAACACGUGAGCAACCUGCCCUUGACUUUGGGAUAACUUCAGGAAACUGGGGCUAAUACCGGAUAGGAGCUCCUGCUGCAUGGUGGGGGUUGGAAAGUUUCGGCGGUUGGGGAUGGACUCGCGGCUUAUCAGCUUGUUGGUGGGGUAGUGGCUUACCAAGGCCUUGACGGGUAGCCGGCCUGAGAGGGUGACCGGCCACAUUGGGACUGAGAUACGGCCCAGACUCCUACGGGAGGCAGCAGUGGGGAAUAUUGCACAAUGGGCGGAAGCCUGAUGCAGCAACGCCGCGUGCGGGAUGACGGCCUUCGGGUUGUAAACCGCUUUCGCCUGUGACGAAGCGUGAGUGACGGUAAUGGGUAAAGAAGCACCGGCUAACUACGUG